AACGUAGGUUCCGAGCGUUAUCCGGAUUUACUGGGCGUAAAGCGCGUUCAGGCGGUUUGGCAAGUCGGGCCUGAAAUCUCUCGGCUCAACCGGGAGAGGUUGUCCGAUACUGCUGGACUUGAGGGCAGUAGAGGGUGGUGGAAUUCCGGGUGUAGUGGUGAAAUGCGUAGAUAUCCGGAGGAACACCAGUGGCGAAAGCGGCCACCUGGACUGCACCUGACGCUGACACGCGAAAGCUAGGGGAGCGAACGGG
rnacentral:rRNA from 1 species